UGGGCAACUGGUCGACUUUUCAUCUGCACAGUUUUUGAUGAAUCCUUUUAUGAUCUACUAACCGACCUGAACCCGAUGUUUCCAUCUCAAUGUGAGAUUCAGCAGAGUUGAAGCAUUUGAAAUUCUAGUACAUUGGGAUAUAGUAGCAGCCUAAAACAUGGGCCAUAAAGAUCCAGGGUUUAUGAGUUGUGACAUAAAACUGCAGGGAAGAUUCAUAAAAACGAGGGACGGGGAAAAACAUACCAUAGAGGAGAGAAACACAGUCGUUAUGGAUUGUCUCUCACAUAAAGAAAAAGGGUUUCAGGAAUCUAUCUGGCCUCCAGGGAGGCGAGGAUAGCAGACAUGUCCCAAAUCUUGAUAGCAGAUUGUAUAGCAACUCUUCAGGAAGUCUGUGUGAAUGAGAAAUGGACUGAAGGUUUCCAACUAUGCAGUAAGAGAGAAGAGUGGGGUCAAACACGUCAGUCCUCAGCAUGAUCUCACAGCCCUCACCUGCUGCCCAGCGUGAGGUUUUCAAGAUGUAUCAAACAUGUUGCCUGAUAAAACCCUAUGUGAUCUCUUAACAUCCUUUACAUUCUGAGCAUCAAGCUCGAGAACUCAACAAAAAGCAUUAUAUGAAAGCCAGCUGCAGACACGCUGAUAUCAGAGAAGAAGUGCAAGUAGAGGUGGUUUGACGUGCUGUUCAGCAAUGCUGGUACUGUGGUUCCUAAAAACAAAGAACAAAAAUGCAUAAAAUAUUUAGACAGAAAAUAAUAUUUGUUUACUGCUUUACAUACUGAAGUGGUCUUUUCUUUGGACUGUUCUAUGAGAUGAAACAAAGUUUAUUGAAGCUCUCUCAGGCUUAGGCAGUUUACCACUCAGCUAUUCAGUCUGUGUGAAGAUACAUUACAUUUUCUGGCUCAAAUUUAUGCUGCAUCAAUCUUUACUUUAUGUGUAUCUGUAUACUAUCUCUUACAGAAUCAUGAGUAUCAUAUAUAAAGUAGU